rnacentral:rRNA from 1 species
UACGGAGGGGGCUAGCGUUGUUCGGAAUUACUGGGCGUAAAGCGUGCGCAGGCGGUUUUGUAAGUCAGAUGUGAAAUCCCCGGGCUUAACCUGGGAACUGCGUUUGAAACUACAAGGCUAGAGUGUGGCAGAGGGGGGUGGAAUUCCACGUGUAGCAGUGAAAUGCGUAGAGAUGUGGAGGAACACCGGUGGCGAAGGCGGCGAUCUGGGUCGAUACUGACGCUGAGGUGCGAAAGCGUGGGGAGCAAACAGG